rnacentral:rRNA from 1 species
UAAUGCGUAGGAAUCUACCUAGUAGUACGGAAUAGCCAUUAGAAAUGGUGGGUAAUACUGUAUAAUCCCCGAGGGGGAAAGAUUUAUCGCUAUUAGAUGAGCCUACGUUAGAUUAGCUAGUUGGUGAGGUAAUGGCUUACCAAGGCUAUGAUCUAUAGCUGGUCUGAGAGGACGAUCAGCCACACUGGAACUGAGAUACGGUCCAGACUCCUACGGGAGGCAGCAGUGGGGAAUAUUGGACAAUGGGCGAAAGCCUGAUCCAGCUAUGCCGCGUGAGUGAAGAAGGCCUUCGGGUUGUAAAACUCUUUCAAUAGGGAAGAUAAUGACG